rnacentral:rRNA from 1 species
AAGACGGCUUCCUGGCCAGAAGACUGACGCUGAGGCACGAAAGCGUGGGGAGCAAAUAGGUUAGAUUACCUAGUAGUACACGCCGUAAACGAUGAAUGCUAGUGUUGGGGAGACUCAGUGCUGCAGUUAACGCAAUAAGCAUUCCGCCUGUGGAGUAUGCACGCAAGUGUGAAACAUAAAGGAAUUGACGGGGGCCCGCACAAGCGGUGGAGUAUGUGGUUUAAUUCGAAGCAACGCGAAGAACCUUACCAGGCCUUGACAUCCCUUGCGAAAGUAUAGAGAUAUACAGGAGGUUAUCAAGGUGACAGGUGGUGCAUGGUUGUCGUCAGCUCGUGUCGUGAGAUGUUGGGUUAAGUCCCGCAACGAGCGCAACCCUUGUCUUUAGUUACCAAUAUUAAGUUAGGGACUCUAGAGAGACUGCCGGUGAUAAACCGGAGGAAGGUGGGGAUGACGUCAAAUCAUCAUGCCCCUUAUGGCCGAGGGUACACACGUACUACAAUGGCUGUUACAACGAGAAGCGACAUAGUGAUAUGAAGCAAACCUCUGAAAGGCAGUCUCAGUUCGGAUUGAAGUCUGCAACUCGACUUCAUGAAGUGGAAU